CUCACCCAAAAAAAUACCCAGCGCCGUUGUUUUUUUUUUUUAAAAGUGGUCUCUCUUUCUGAAUUUUGAAAAAUAAGCGUUAGAGAGGCAACGGCUAUUUUUCCAAAAUUGAGAGUCUCUCUCCUUUUCCGUCUUCCAAGUCCCAAAUCCAGAUUCUAGUCUCUCCCUUCUCUGUCUCUGCUCUUCUUCUUCUUCUUCUUCUUCAAUGUUCGUCGGCACGCUUAUGUUGGAGGCUUGGAUGGCCACCGAUGUAGAUGUAGGGUUCUGUCCUUUAACGGAAGGGAAUGAAGAAGAAAACCCCAAUUGAUUGAUUUCAUGAUUAAAGAGAUGCAGACACAAGUGGAGUUGAAGUUUGCGUUAUGUGCUGAAAGGUGUAGAAAUAUUAUAUAUUCACAACUGGGGUCGGAAUAAAGUUGGUAUGACUUUCUUGUUUUUCUUCUAUUGUUAUAUGUGCUAAUUGGUUGUUAUGCAUCUUUGCUUCUGAGAAUGCUUUUCCUUUAUUAAGGAUAUAAUUGAACAUUAGUUUCCAGGGUACGUAAAGCUUGAUUCUUUAUGAUUUCAGGUAAUUGAAACCUUUUUGGCACCAUUACUUUCCUUUAAUGAAUGUCCAAAAACGUGACUACUGCUUUACUAUACAAAUUUAAAUGAGUACUGCUGUAUCGUGUGUAGAUAUGCAUUUGGAAUGGAAUGAAUAUACUAUUCAAUAUUUCCUCUCAA